GGGUGAGUAAUGCUUGGGAACAUGCCUUGAGGUGGGGGACAACCAUUGGAAACGAUGGCUAAUACCGCAUAAUGUCUACGGACCAAAGGGGGCUUCGGCUCUCGCCUUUAGAUUGGCCCAAGUGGGAUUAGCUAGUUGGUGAGGUAACGGCUCACCAAGGCGACGAUCCCUAGCUGGUUUGAGAGGAUGAUCAGCCACACUGGAACUGAGACACGGUCCAGACUCCUACGGGAGGCAGCAGUGGGGAAUAUUGCACAAUGGGCGCAAGCCUGAUGCAGCCAUGCCGCGUGUGUGAAGAAGGCCUUCGGGUUGUAAAGCACUUUCAGUCAGGAGGAAAGGUUAGUAGUUAAUACCUGCUAGCUGUGACGUUACUGACAGAAGAAGCACCGGCUAACUCCGUGCCAGCAGCCGCGGUAAUACGGAGGGUGCGAGCGUUAAUCGGAAUUACUGGGCGUAAAGCGUACGCAGGCGGUUUGUUAAGCGAGAUGUGAAAGCCCCGGGCUUAACCUGGGAACUGCAUUUCGAACUGGCAGACUAGAGUGUGAUAGAGGGUGGUAGAAUUUCAGGUGUAGCGGUGAAAUGCGUAGAGAUCUGAAGGAAUACCGAUGGCGAAGGCAGCCACCUGGGUCAACACUGACGCUCAUGUACGAAAGCGUG
rnacentral:rRNA from 1 species